CGGUGAUUGGCGCAGCUUGGUAGCGCACUUGGUUUGGGUCCAAGGGGUCGCAGGUUCAAAUCCUGCAUCACCAACCA
rnacentral:tRNA from 1 species